rnacentral:rRNA from 1 species
AUGGCAACCCACCCACACAAAUCUCCCAUGAAAAAUUUACAGUGCAAGGUACAACCUGCGAAGGGGAAGAUGGAGCCGAAGCCCAAGAGGAAGAAGUCCAGGGCGGCGACGCCAGCAGAGGUGGAGGAAUUCACGGCGCUCGAGCUGGAAGCGGCCGAGCAGCUCAUUCGCCUUAGCGAGAGUAACGUGCCCAUGGGCACCCCACGCGUCCUCCCCGUCUCCCCCUGCAUGGCGCUCUCAGGUCAGUCCUCCUCUCCUCCGCACUCUGCGAAGGCCACGCCAGUGCCGCCAUGUCCUGGCGCAAUAAUUCUUGGCGAUUCCGAGGAUUGGGAGGAAGAUGAGGAGCACGAGGUGGCCGGGAGGCAGCGGAGGGUGAAGCGCUACCGCCUGAUCAACGAGAUCUACGCUGCGACGGAGCCAAUUGGCGGGCACAUCGAUAGCACCCAGAAGAAGAAGACGAAGAGGGAAUAG